AACCACACAGGAUAAUCAUUUAUCCCGUGCGGUCGUGUUAAGUAGACUACACAGGAUAAAUGAUUAUCCCGUGCGGUC
rnacentral:pre_miRNA from 11 species